GAAGUAGAAAUGAAUCUAAUGAUGUUAUGUUUCAUUUAUGAAAUAUUCCUGUUGUUUGAUGCACUAUGGAAACAUGCUAUUAAUCAUCAACGUGCAAGUGCGUAUUUUUUUAAAAUUAAUCCGUACCAAGAGGACAAGGCGAAACUCAAAAA